rnacentral:lncRNA from 1 species
CUUUAAUUACUUAUUCUCUUUAAAGGUUGAUAUAUCCAGAUAUUUAUACACCCUUGACUUUCAAUAUUUUGAGUUUUUAGUGUUUUAAGGAGCAUUAUGCAUAACCUAUAAUAUAUAAACAAUCAUUAAUGAAAGUGAAAAAGUGAAAUUAUAAUUUGCUUAGGCAGCCAGUUUGGUUCAAUUUUGUCCAAAUCAGCUAUAAAGAAACAUCCCUGAUGAAUUAUCCACUUGCACUCAUUGAUUCUGUAUUCAUGUAACUUUCAAUGAACCCCAUAGCUAGAGAUAGGUUAUACUCAUGAUUAUUUGUGUUCAGUUAUUAAAAGGAAAAGAAUAUCAAUAUUGAAAAUAAAGCAAGGGUAAACCAUUUUAAUUGACUAAAACCACAAAAAAACUCAUUUUUAUACCGAUAACAACUGAUUAAUUUAUAUAUAACUUCUAUUUUUAACCUUUGAUAUAAAAUCAAAAUCCAAUUGCAUGAGUUUGCUAUCUAUUGAUAUUUAAGUUUUAUUGGGUUUUAUUGGAGUCUUCGGAGGUCACCUCAAUAGAUUGUGUCUAGACUUUUAAAAUAGACAUGAAAUUCUGAUACAAAUUAUUAAGCUUAUGCAAAUUAUUCAUUUUAGACUUUUUAUAAUUUUGAUAAACGUUUUAGUAUGCUAUAAAGGCAUAUCAGUGACCAUGAAUUUUACAGCUUAGGAAAUGAGUGAGUAAAAUGUGAAAAAAAUCUGAAAAAUUAAUUUAUAUAACUGAAGCAAACCCCAAAACUUUACCAAACAUUGCUAUUGAGUUUGAAAUUUGUUUCAGAAUAUCACUAAUGAACUUUGUUGAUGUCAUAUAUCAUAUGAAACUAUACUAGAAAACACCUGUGACUGAAUUAAAGUAUAUAACUAUGCGUAAGCCUUAUUUUAGUAUUGGGAUUGUCAUGCCGAUUAUAAGACGCACAGUUUUCUCUGCUUUCAAAAUCUUUCUGUUUGAACCCGUCGACCUGGAACUUAUCAAUUAUUGGUAAUUUUAAUUUUUGGAAAACAAAAGGUCCUGGAAUGGAGUAUUCUUUAAUCAACAGCAUUGUCCUAUAUAAGUUAUAAAUAAAUUUGAAUUCUUUGAUUUGCUGUUUUACGUCAUGCCCGCUAACAAAUUGAAAACUGUACCUAUACACCUUAUUUUAAGUCCAGAAUUUUAGCAUUCCGAUUUGGUAUUGUCAUCUUAGAACGUCUUACUGAUUAAAAUACUACAAUAGAGAACAAUUUGACAAUGAUUGAAUUUAGUGUCAACCCUGUGAUUAUGACCCGUGUAUAUAGCAAAAUCCGAAAUACACUGUUUGGUGGUGCGCCUGUCAGAUGCGGAACGUACAGAUAAGGUAAUAGGUAACAGGUGAAUAUACUAUUGGUAUCAGUAUCGGAUUUGGUCCGGAACUUGUUAAUUAUUGGCAAUAUUAAUUAUGUGGAAAACAAAAGGAUCUGGAGUGGUGUAAUUUUUAAUCAACACCAUUGUCCUAUAUUGGCUAUAUAUAAAAUUGAAUUCUUUGAUUUGUCGUUUUUACCCGAUGACGGCUGACAAAUUGGACCUCGUUAUUUUAGUAUUAUAGAUGUUUAUUAAGAAUUUAAAAACAAAAUCUUAAAUUUUUAACAAAUUCUCCUCUGCCUGAAAUAAAUUUUUAUGCAUUAAGGGCUACAUUUAUAGUUUGAAUCCAGAAAAAAGAAUUUGAAAACAUUUAAGUUAGUUUGAUAUAAAAAUACAGUAAUUUAAGGUGGUACCUAACACUACAGGGAGAUAACUCUGUAAAAUCAGCUAAACGUUUUAAUUACGUUAUGUUGUUAAAGGAAUAUUAAGCUUCUAAAUGAUCAAAAUUAGUAUUUGUCAAACUGCUAUAUAACCAGUGUAAUAUUUCUGAAAAAACGGUUGGUUCAAAUUAUUUGAAAUUUUUAUAUUUUUGUUGAAGGGACAAAGUAUAUACUUUGUCAAAAUUUUAUGAAAUUUAAACGAGCCAAAUUAAUUUUAGUGAAAGUGUUGGGUACCACCUUAACUACAUACAUACUUUCUUAUGUAUCUUUUAGAAUUUAUCCAAUAUUAUGGAAAAGGACAUAUUCAAGCUUACUUUGUUAAUUAUACAUAUGUAUCAAGAAGUUCAUUGAAUAAAGU